CCGCCCCAGUCCUACCCACAAAAUAAGCAUUUCUCAUGCCCACCAUACCAACGUUUAAUGCCCCAUGUGGAAGCCAUGAAUCGAAUUUAAAAUUCGCGAGAUUUGCCAGCUUAGGCUUAUCUUUACCUCAAGCCCAAGCAGGUGCCCUAAUCAUGCAUUAUUGCGAAACCAAAAGCUCACACAUUUUCAAUGCAUUUGGGAAUGGGGAAUUCAUGGCGAAUCCCGAGAAAUUCGAGCUUUGGCCUCUGAUAAAGUGAUCGUCGUUGUCCUGUGACAGAUCAUUUCUCAACCAGAGAUGUUGAAUCGCGACAGAUUGUUCUGGGUGAAGUUGAGCGGGGUGGUAAAUUUAAUUGUAACGCUCUACGGGGUUGGAAUUAUUCUGUAUUGUCUUUGGUUUCUGAAAACAUGGCAAGAGAAAACAGUUGGAUUGCCUUUCUCAGCCACACCAUUGUUUAUACAUAUAUGUCUGGCCAUAGGAAUUGCUCUCUGCUUAGGCACGACGUGUGGUUGUGUAGUCGCCAACUGGUUCAGCGAUUGGAUGCUUUCGAUAUACAUUGUGAUCAUAUGCUGUCUUGUUGCGUUGGAAAUUGCUGUGGUUGUCAUUAUAUUCAUCACGAUGGACUGGGUAGCGGUAUGCUUUCUCAAAUUUGUCAUAUUAAUCUUCCAUAGCAUCAUCAUUGGCUAGAGACUUCCAAGAAAAACCCAGCUUACAUAAAAGAUUCAUCUUCAAAAUAUAGCUAGUUGAGUUUUUUGUAUUGGGGGGUCAUUGCUUGUUGAUGAUUUCUUUUUCUUUUUUCUUUUUUGAUACAGAUACUUGUUGAUAAUUUCUAUCAGAGAGACUUGAUUGAAUUUCAUUUUCUUCUAUAGAACUUUUUAUUGUUGAUAAUAAUAACAACUGAGCAAGGAAGAUAACGGCAUAGCUUGGGAAGAGUCUCACAGUAUAGUGAGAAUGGAUAAUAUAAAGUAAAUGAGAUCAUUGACACGAAACAUUCAGAGUUCAGGAUUUUUAUCCUUUUCCAUGUGUGCAUGUGUCGCGUUAUUCUUCUGGUAUCAUUAGUACCUCAGAUAACUGCAAUUGCUUUGGCUAUUGGUUUGCUGGCUCUUGGUACUCAAGCCGCGAGGUCUGGCUGUGGCAACCCUUCUGUAAUACCUGAUUUUCGUCAAUCCUUUCUAGUUUUGCGCAGCUCACGUGUACAUGAGGAAUCAACGCAUCAACUUUAGCUCUCAUAUUUGAUGUCAAGUUUUGAGCAGAACACAGCUAAAAAGAGAAAAAAAGAAAAGAAAAUCAGAAUAAGUUGUGACUGCGUUCAAGAGUUGUUAAAAUACAUGGAUAGCAACCGAGCGUAAUUUUGGCCAAUCCCCUGAGCAUAAACUGAAUGCGUCAUAAUAAAUUAGUAGGACCAGAAUGCUUCUACAA